AUUGAACGCUGGCGGCAGGCCUAACACAUGCAAGUCGAGCGGAUGAAGGGAGCUUGCUCCUGGAUGCAGCGGCGGACGGGUGAGUAAUGCCUAGGAAUCUGCCUGGCAGUGGGGGAUAACGUCCGGAAACGGGCGCUAAUACCGCAUACGUCCAGAGGGUGAAAGUGGGGGAUCUUCGGACCUCACGCUAUCUGAUGAGCCUAGGUCGGAUUAGCUAGUUGGUGGGGUAAAGGCCUACCAAGGCGACGAUCCGUAACUGGUCUGAGAGGAUGAUCAGUCACACUGGAACUGAGACACGGUCCAGACUCCUACGGGAGGCAGCAGUGGGGAAUAUUGGGCAAUGGGCGAAAGCCUGAUCCAGCCAUGCCGCGUGUGUGAAGAAGGUCUUCGGAUUGUAAAGCACUUUAAGUUGGGAGGAAGGGCAGUAAGUUUAUACCUUGCUGUUUUGACGUUACCAACAGAAUAAGCACCGGCUAACUUCGUG
rnacentral:rRNA from 1 species